ACGAACGCUGGCGGCGUGCUUAACACAUGCAAGUCGAACGGUGAAGCUCCAGCUUGCUGGAGUGGAUCAGUGGCGAACGGGUGAGUAACACGUGAGCAACCUGCCCCUGACUCUGGAAUAAGCGCUGGAAACGGCGUCUAAUACUGGAUACGAGAAGGGUCCGCAUGGGCACUUUCUGGAAAGUUUUUCGGUUGGGGAUGGGCUCGCGGCCUAUCAGCUUGUUGGUGAGGUAAUGGCUCACCAAGGCGACGACGGGUAGCCGGCCUGAGAGGGCGACCGGCCACACUGGGACUGAGACACGGCCCAGACUCCUACGGGAGGCAGCAGUGGGGAAUAUUGCACAAUGGGCGAAAGCCUGAUGCAGCGACGCCGCGUGAGGGAUGACGGCCUUCGGGUUGUAAACCUCUUUCAGCAGGGAAGAAGCGAAAGUGACGGUACCUGCAGAAGAAGCACCGGCUAACUACGU
rnacentral:rRNA from 1 species